UACGAAGGGGGCUAGCGUUGUUCGGAAUCACUGGGCGUAAAGCGCACGUAGGCGGACUGUUAAGUCAGGGGUGAAAUCCUGGGGCUCAACCCCAGAACUGCCUUUGAUACUGGCGGUCUUGAGUGUGGGAGAGGUUGGUGGAACUCCGAGUGUAGAGGUGAAAUUCGUAGAUAUUCGGAAGAACACCGGUGGCGAAGGCGGGUCUCUGGGCCGAUACUGACGCUGAGGAGCGAAAGCCAGGGGAGCAAACGGG
rnacentral:rRNA from 1 species